CCGGGAAUAUUGCGCAAUGGGCGAAAGCCUGACGCAGCGACACCGCGUGUGGGAUGAAGCUCUUCGGAGUGUAAACCACUGUGGCGAGGGAUGACAUCGACAGUACCUCGCUAGAAAGCACCAGCUAACUACGUGCCAGAAGCUUCGGUAAUACGUAGGGUGCAAGCAUUAUCCGGAUUUAUUGGGCGUAAAGCGUCCGUCGGCUUCUUGACAAGUUUUUUGUUUAAGCCUGAAGCUCAACUUCAGACAUGCAAAAAAAACUGUCAAGAUAGAGUCAGUUCGAGGGAAUUGGAACUCUUGGUGGAGGGGUGAAAUCCGUAGAUAUCAAGAGGAACACCGAGCGCGAAAGCAGAUUCCUAGGACAUGACUGACGCUCAUGGACGAAAGCUAGGGUAGCAAAGCGG
rnacentral:rRNA from 1 species